CUGAGAUGCCUAUGAGAAAUCCAGUUUAAAAUAAACAAUAGACAGGUAGCUGGUGAUGCAGGCUGACUUCUGAUGUCAUAAGGGCAAGUAUCACCAUGGCAAGAAGAACACAAAACAUUGCACUCAAUUCUUAUCAAUCUCAGUCUUCAUAGAGCAGACAAAGAAGGCGGCUGGUACUUGGAGUCAAAGGGAUAAAAUGUAGAAGACAACAUACUUUAUUAACAAAGAUUUGUCAGGACCCCUAUAGAUGGGAAGGAGAGGAAAUUAACAACAAAAGGAUCUAAAUAUCAUCUAUGAGAGAUUCAAAAUGAAUUUAAGCGGGGAAGGAACACCUUAAACAUCAGUAAUGAAAACCCACUACCAAUCUCAAGAGCACCAGAACUUAUCGCUGGACUGUUGUCAAGGGAAAGAAGCUUGAACUGUACAGAUAUUAAGGGGAAAGAAUAUUUGCGACUUAAAUCAGGACUUCUGACAAUUUAUUUAUCAGACAAGAAAAACUAUGAAGACACACAAAACACUGUCAAGUUGGUGGAAGCGAAAACAUUUUCUUGGGAAGUGGUCACCUUCAAGAAGCAAAUGAAAAGGCAUCAAUGGGUACCUCCACAUCCGAAAAGAAAAGGCAAUUACUGGUCUUCCUCUGGAAGAAAGACUAGAAGAUUAAAUGCAACAUUUUUAGCAAAAAAAAAAAGUCCUUCAAAGCUACUGUAAUUAACACAAGAACCUUUCAUCUCUAUCUUUCCCAACGAAAUUUCAAGAACUAAAAAGACGUAUUCCCAAGAUACUCCUGACUCUUUCCUUCUCACAUCUGUUCAGGGAUUUUGUUAUCAACACCUAAGGGGCACAACAGAAAAUCACAAGUCAUUUCAGCAUAUCCUUACAGGCCUCUACACCAAGAAACUGAGAGAUGAAAAGAAAUCAACACAAAUACUUUGAGUAGUGCAAGCACAAAGCACACAAUAAAGAACUUGCACCAUCUCA
rnacentral:lncRNA from 1 species